UACGUAGGGUGCGAGCGUUGUCCGGAAUUAUUGGGCGUAAAGGGCUCGUAGGCGGUCUGUCGCGUCGAAAGUGAAAACCCAGGGCUUAACCCUGGGCCUGCUUCCGAUACGGGCAGACUAGAGGUAUGCAGGGGAGAACGGAAUUCCUGGUGUAGCGGUGGAAUGCGCAGAUAUCAGGAGGAACACCGGUGGCGAAGGCGGGUCUCUGGGCAGUAACUGACGCUGAGGAGCGAAAGCGUGGGGAGCGAACAGG
rnacentral:rRNA from 1 species